rnacentral:siRNA from 1 species
AGCAACUAUAAACGCGUCUUGGUC